rnacentral:rRNA from 1 species
GACGAACGCUGGCGGCGUGCUUAACACAUGCAAGUCGAACGGAAAGGCCCUGCUUGCAGGGUACUCGAGUGGCGAACGGGUGAGUAACACGUGGGUGAUCUGCCCUGCACUUCGGGAUAAGCCUGGGAAACUGGGUCUAAUACCGGAUAGGAGCCAUUUUUAGUGUGAUGGUUGGAAAGUUUUUUCGGUGUAGGAUGAGCUCGCGGCCUAUCAGCUUGUUGGUGGGGUAAUGGCCUACCAAGGCGGCGACGGGUAGCCGGCCUGAGAGGGUGGACGGCCACAUUGGGACUGAGGUACGGCCCAGACUCCUACGGGGGGCAGCAGUGGGGAAUAUUGCACAAUGGGCGCAAGCCUGAUGCAGCGACGCCGCGUGGGGGAUGACGGCCUUCGGGUUGUAAACUCCUUUCGCUAGGGACGAAGCUUUUUGUGACGGUACCUAGAUAAGAAGCACCGGCUAACUACGUG